AAAACAAUCUUGAGUUGAAAGAAUGGAAGAGUCAGGGUUGGCUUUUGAGGAUGAAUUGCUUGACGUACCUCAAAGAAAAUUAAAUUUACAUAUUGUGUUAAAAGGAGGCCAGAUUCAUCAUGCCAUAGAAGUCAGCCCAAAGAUGGAUUGCUGCAAUUGUCUUUUCGUAUGUUUGUUUUGGUAAAAACAUAACUGGGAGAAUUUUGUAAAAUAAAUGCAAAAUGAUGAAUAAGCUACAUCACUCUUAUUCACAUAUCUUCUCUUUUAUUAAACGGUAGCAAGAGGAAUGGAAUGCUUGCCUAGAAUGG
rnacentral:lncRNA from 1 species